ensembl:lncRNA novel transcript, antisense to DSCR3
ACCAGCAUCUGCUGCCGCCCUGAAUCAGCGUUAGCAUGUGGAGGCAACCUCAGCCCCCAGUUUUUGAAGAAGGUGAUUCAGAUUCAGACACAGGAAUUAUGGUGACGGUAGAAAUGGACUGGAAGAAUAAUCACAAAAACAAGUAUAUGCCGCUGGCUGUAGCUCCCCUUAGGAUUUGGAUAACCAGCUGGAUUUCCAGAUGGCCACUCCCGUUCUCUAUGCUUCCCUCCUCCGGGCUAUAUCCUGCAGAGCUUCAGCGGGAAGUUCUCCGUGAUGAGGUGGUCAGGGUGAAGCAGCACCACGAUGUUAACCUCAAAUUCUGAGAAGAGAAGAGAGGGUGGGUUUGUGCUCACUGUUACCAAGCAGCGAAACCACACGCCGCCACCACUGCAGUCGCAGGAAGCUCUAACGGCGAAGGAGCACCCGGUGCGGGUGGGUUUCAUUGCUGUCCCCUCAGCGCCACCCUGACCUUUCAGCCAAACUUUCAGUGGAGAUGACUAUGCUGAUGUCUGACUACCUCUGUCAACUUUCUCUAAGUGAAUUUUUGUCCUCUCAUCUUGGAACAUGAGUGAUCAGGCUUCACCAACUACACUUUCCCUGUCCCUUUGCUUUCCUAAAAAGGAUAUUCUAGAACCCUUUCAA